rnacentral:rRNA from 1 species
GUGCAGCAGGCGCGAAAACUUUACAAUGCGGGAACCCGUGAUAAGGGGACACCGAGUGCCAGCAUCAUAUGCUGGCUGUCCGGAUGUGUAAAAUACAUCCGUUAGCAAGGGCCGGGCAAGACCGGUGCCAGCCGCCGCGGUAACACCGGCGGCCCGAGUGGUGAUCGUGAUUAUUGGGUCUAAAGGGUCCGUAGCCGGUUUGGUCAGUCCUCCGGGAAAUCUGAUAGCUCAACUAUUAGGCUUUCGGGGGAUACUGCCAGACUUGGAACCGGGAGAGGUAAGAGGUACUACAGGGGUAGGAGUGAAAUCUUGUAAUCCCUGUGGGACCACCUGUGGCGAAGGCGUCUUACCAGAACGGGUUCGACGGUGAGGGACGAAAGCUGGGGGCACGAACCGGAUUAGAUACCCGGGUAGUCC